rnacentral:rRNA from 1 species
UGGGGAAUAUUGGACAAUGGGCGCAAGCCUGAUCCAGCCAUGCCGCGUGAGUGAUGAAGGCCCUAGGGUUGUAAAGCUCUCUCACCGGUGAAGAUAAUGACGGUAACCGGAGCAGAAGCCCCGGCUAACUUCGUGCCAGCAGCCGCGGUAAUACGAAGGGGGCUAGCGUUGUUCGGAUUUACUGGGCGUAAAGCGCACGUAGGCGGACUUUUAAGUCAGGGGUGAAAUCCCGGGGCUCAACCCCGGAACUGCCUUUGAUACUGGAAGUCUUGAGUAUGGUAGAGGUGAGUGGAAUUCCGAGUGUAGGGGUGAAAAUCGUAGAUAUUCGGAGGAACACCAGUGGCGAAGACGGCUCACUGGACCAUUACUGACGCUGAGGUGCGAAAGCGUGGGGAGCAAACAGG